GAGACGUGAAGUGGAGCGAACAAAAGUAGCGAAGCAUAUGAGCCAUGUGCCAAGAAAAGCCGCUAUAGCAUGCAGUAUACCCGUACCGUAAACCGACACAGGUGGAUGAGGAGAGAAUCCCAAGGCCGACGGAAGGAGCAUUGUUAAGGAACUCGGCAAAAUGACCCCGUAACUUCGGGAGAAGGGGUGCCCGUGUAACAGCGGGCCGCAGAGAAUAGGCUCAAGCAACUGUUUAGCAAAAACACAGGUCUAUGCAAAACCGAAAGGUGAGGUAUAUGGGCUGACGCCUGCCCGGUGCUGGAAGGUUAAGAGGAGGAGUCAGGCAACGAAGCUCCGAAUUUAAGCCCCAGUAAACGGCGGCCGUAACAAUAACGGUCCUAAGGUAGCGAAAUUCCUUGUCGGGUAAGUUCCGACCCGCACGAAAGGCGUAAUGAUUUGAGCACUGUCUCGACAAUGCAUCCGGUGAAAUUGAAGUACCAGUGAAGAUGCUGGUUACCUGCGCCAGGACGGAAAGACCCCAUGGAGCUUUACUCCAGCUUGAUACUGGGAUUCGAUGCUGUAUGUACAGGAUAGGUGGGAGACGUUAGAAGAUAUGACGCCAGUUGUAUCAGAGUCGCUGUUGGGAUACCACCCUUGCAGUAUCGGAUUUCUAACCUGCAGCCGUGACCCGGCUGGGGGACAAUGUCUGGCGGGGAGUUUGACUGGGGCGGUCACCUCCGAAAGGGUAUCGGAGGCGCUCAAAGGUUCCCUCAGAAUGGUUGGAAACCAUUCGAAGAGUGCAAAGGCAGAAGGGAGCUUGACUGCGACACCGACGGGUGGAGCAGGUACGAAAGUAGGACUUAGUGAUCCGGUGGUAUAAAGUGGGAUUGCCAUCGCUCAACGGAUAAAAGCUACCCUGGGAUAACAUGCUUAUCACUCCCAAGAGUUCACAUCGACGGAGUGGUUUGGCACCUCGAUGUCGGCUCAUCGCAUCCUGGGGCUGUAGCAGGUCCCAAGGGUUGGGCUGUUCGCCCAUUAAAGCGGUACGCGAGCUGGGUUCAGAACGUCGUGAGACAGUUCGGUCCCUAUCCGGCGUAGGCGAAGGAUAUUUGAGAGGAGCUGUCCUUAGUACGAGAGGACCGGGAUGGACGGACCACUGGUGUAUCUGUUAGGUAUCAGACCUAUGGCAGAGUAGCCAAGUCCGGCAGGGAUAAACGCUGAAGGCAUCUAAGCGUGAAGCCCCACUCAAGAUGAGAUAUCCAAGUGUCGCAAGACAUGAGAGACCCCUUGAAGACGACGAGGUAGAUAGGAGUGAGGUGUAAGCAUAGUAAUAUGCUCAGCUGACACUUACUAAUCGGUCAAGAGCUG
rnacentral:rRNA from 1 species